GACGAACGCUGGCGGCGCGCUUAACACAUGCAAGUCGAGCGAGAACCAGUCCUUCGGGACUGGGGACAGCGGCGAACGGGUGAGUAACACGUGAGUAAUCCACCCUCGGUACCGGAAUAGCCCGGGGAAACUCGGAUUAAUGCCGGAUGGCCCAUUUGCUCUUCGGAGCGGAUGGAAAAGAUAGCUUCGGCCUUCGACCGAGGACGAGCUCGCGGCGGAUUAGCUUGUUGGCGGGGUAACGGCCCACCAAGGCGACGAUCCGUAGCUGGUCUGAGAG
rnacentral:rRNA from 1 species